CAGCCGCCGCGGUAAUACGAAGGGUGCAAGCGUUACUCGGAAUUACUGGGCGUAAAGCGUGUGUAGGUGGUUGUUUAAGUCUGUCGUGAAAGCCCUGGGCUCAACCUGGGAAUUGCGAUGGAUACUGGGCGACUAGAGUGCGGUAGAGGAUAGUGGAAUUUCCGGUGUAGCAGUGAAAUGCGUAGAGAUCGGAAGGAACAUCUGUGGCGAAGGCGACUAUCUGGACAAAGACUGACGCUCAGGUGCGAAAGCGUGGGGAGCAAACAGGAUUAGAUACCCGUGUAGUCCCUGUCUCUUAUAA
rnacentral:rRNA from 1 species